rnacentral:rRNA from 1 species
CAGCAGCCGCGGGAAAACGUAGGGUGCAAGCGUUAAUCGGAAUUACUGGGCGUAAAGCGUGCGCAGGCGGUUAUAUAAGUCAGAUGUGAAAUCCCCGGGCUCAACCUGGGAACUGCAUUUGAGACUGUAUGGCUAGAGUGUGUCAGAGGGGGGUAGAAUUCCACGUGUAGCAGUGAAAUGCGUAGAUAUGUGGAGGAAUACCGAUGGCGAAGGCAGCCCCCUGGGAUAACACUGACGCUCAUGCACGAAAGCGUGGGGAGCAAACAGGAUUAGAUACCCCAGUAGUCCCUGUCUCUUAUAC